UCGCGGCUCCACGGGGCUCGCCAGGAGGGGGUGGCGCCGGCCCGACGGCUGGGGGCUGCGGGGGACCGGGCGCGGGUGUCAGUCGGUCUGCCUCGGUGCGGGACUCGCCUAAGUUGCUGCAAACAGAAGAGCUGCAGUGUUUGGGGAGCUGCUGCUGACAUUCCGACACCGACACCGACACCGAGCAACUUUCACUCCCAGACAACUACUUUAAGGUCUCAUCUGCCUGAGAAUCUUCUCUGAACGUUAUUCUGGAGUCCAUCAUGUCUUAGUUGAAAGAAAGAAAAUUGAAGAUUAACCUCAGUGGUCCAAGGACUCUAAGAUCAUAAAAAAGAAAUGAUUGUGUGUGCUUGUUGUGCCACUGGAGGACAAACUCCAGCAUCUCCUCUACUACAAACCAGAAGAACUCUCCGAUGUAUAGUUAAUGCCCACCUGGGGUGUUUGCAGUGUUGUAUACACUUUUAGAAGAUAUCUGAUGUGGAGAAAGAAAAACAGAAACACUCAAUCAGAACGGGUUUGAUUGACAAUUACUACUAAUGAGAACGCGCUGUAAAUCAUCCUGCAGACAGAAGACAGUGUUGAAUCCUCACAUAACCUGCAAACGGUGACACUCUUUAUAACAAGGUUACACUACUCUGUCCUCAGCGUGAUGGUGAGUGUCUCUUGCAUACGUGCUACUACAUUUCCAUUAGACUGUUAGAUAUAACGAUCAAUAAAAGAAGAUCUAUUUCCAUUCCAUGGAGCAGCUUCUAAAAGUGGCAUAAUGAGAAAGAAAUACAUCUAACUAAACAGCAGACUGAAAAGCACAGAGCAUACCAAACUAACAAUAAAAUAAUAAUAUCUUAUACUUGUACAGUACUUUCUUGGUUAAAGAAGUGAGACUUCAUGUGAUAAUUUUAUUUGAACUUCACAACCAUGAGGUACAACCUCAUGGAGUAGGUAGGCAAGUUAUGCUUAUUGCCAUUUUUUACAGAUAUGUAGAGAGGUUAAAUGAUACCCCACUCCACAGAAAUUUUCUGAUUCUGACUGUAGUUGUCUUUCUAACAUUUCUGAUUAGUAAAAUUAAAAGGCAGACAAAAACCACCCCACUGAUAUGCUUUAAAUUAUAGUUUUGUGUCUUACCUUCUCAAAUGGAGUUUGUGACUAGGUGAAUAUAAUGUUAAGUGAAAAGAGAGACAGGAAGAAAACAUGAAAAUUGUGUUCUUUGGCAACCCUCUUAGGACUCUCUCACUCCUGAGAGCUUUUUCUCUAACCUCACUUAAUAAAACUCUUAUCGCUUUAAAAAAAAUUGUGUUUAAAAAAAUUGUGUUCUUCAAAAUGCAUAAACUUGUAAUGUAGUAUGUUCCCACAUUUAGUUUGGGAAUGGCCAUCUAAGAUGAGUUUGUGGCAUCCACCAGAUUUUUUUUCCAUAAUUAAAAUUAAUUUGAUUUUGAUCAUUUUAACUAUAGUCUUUGUGUAGGCACCUUCAGGUGCAUUGAAAUGAAAAAUAUCUGUUCCUUGUUUUUAAUGAUUUCAACAGUGAUCUGGACUCAUACCACCGCAUUGCCAUACCUCUGUCCACAUGUCACAUACUCAUGCUACUUUCUGCGUCACUCCCACUCAAUAAAUAACAAAUACGUGUGUGCACGUGUUAAGAGUUGGUCAGAUAAUUUUCUAGCUUCUUUCACAAAAAUUCUCUCUCCCAUGGCUUGACAAAAUCUUGAAUUUUUCUACAGAGAAGGGUCUCUUCAAUUAGGGGCCUGAACGUUUUGGGGAAAUGGUUGGAAAGGGUCAAAUCGAAGAAAACCUAAUGAAAAAAGAUAAUAUCACGCAUAACUCCACAACUCUGAAACUAUACUUGAGUGGGGAGGGUAUGAGAGGUUUCUGACCAGUCUCUGCUCUUUUGGCAUCGGCAUGAAACAAUUGUUUCAUUAAUUGUUCGCUGUAAUUGUUCGCUGAUGGCUGGUUAGGUGGAUACAUAAAUUAAAGGUGGCACAUUCCAGGGAGAAACUUCGAAUAGAAACUGCAUCUUAAAUUUCUCUAGCACUUCUGAGCCUCAAAAUGGGGCCGGCAGGUUGAGUUUGCACAAAAUCAUCAAAAAUUAAUAUUCUUUUUCACUUCACCUUUUAGUUACCUUCCUGACUCUGACCCACACAAAAGAGCUAAAGAACAUGGUAGCAUGUAGGAAGCAUGAUGUGAUUUUACACAACAUUUUUUAUAAUGUAUGCAGGGCAGAUAUUAUAAUCAAUACCCUUUCAAAGAUUAGGAAACCAAUGCUCAGAGAAAGUGGUGCAGCCAAGAAUUUGGUCCAAGUCAUCUGGUUAUAUAUCCUGCAUCUUUCCUACCAGACACUUCUUUGCUACUUCAUGGUGCUAAGAACCUAGCUGUCAUCUACCUAGUGAUUAACCUACUAGGAGUUAUAUGAGCAUUAAUGAUAGGCGUUGAGACUUGAUACUUCUCAGAGAUACUGAAAAAUCUGGAAAAAGGUAAAUUUAUUUUUAUUAAUUUUUUUUAAAGAACAGUGUCCAAAAGAAUAAAAUCACAAGGUCAAAGAAUAAAUUGGAGUUGACAUGUUCAGCCAGGUAAGCCCAUCCAAUGCUUCUGUUAAGUGAUAUUCUAAAAAAAUACACGUUGAUUAAUUUACCUAUUCAUUCAGGUAGAAGGGAAGAGAGACAAAAACAAAACAGAAUUUUAUUUGUCUCUUCAUGUCACAUGCAGAUUUGAAUCCUGACAUCCAGAGAUGUCCUUUGUAAUGUUCUCUAUAACACAUUUUCAGAGGAUCUUAAUAUAACAAAAUUACAUUUCUUCUGUUAAUUUGUUUGCUUUUUGAUAAGUAUAUUCCAAGUUUGAAUUAAGUUUUUGAUGCAUGAAAACCACCAGAAAAGAUUUGAACUAAUUUUUAUUUUUUGUCUACUAGCCUCUCCCUUUCAUUCCAUUUUUCUUUUCCUCAGUCGAGGCUACCCUGACAUUAAACUUGAAUUUGGAUUAAAAAAUCCUCAGGCAACACUAGCUAUUGUACUAGAUAAUAAACAAUAUUUAUUUAGUGUAGAAGUUGCAUUAAAGAUAACUUAAAGGUGAUUUUCAUACUUGAAGAUAAUUUUUUAGUCUUUCAGUCAUAUAUUGCUAUAUAAAAUAUGGUUUUAAAUGUUUUAAUAGCUAUAUUUUAAUAUAACUGGUGUUCUUUAUAAUCCUAUGUAUUUAAAUAUAUUUUUCUGGCUAGGAAAAUAUCUCAUAUCUCUAUCUCACACUGCUAAAAUGUCCAUGGCACAAAAUAGGUUAAUAACUUUUGCUCUAUGUGCUGGGAUACCAUAGGUCAAACAGAAGACAACAGCCACCAAACACACAUUUAUAGAAAUUUAGUAAUGUAGGUACAGAAAGGUCUAUUUGUUGUGGUAGUGAAAUAAAAAAAAAAUUUAAAAGAUUUUAUUUAUUCAUGAGAGAUGCAGAGAGAGAGAGAGUCAGAGAGAGAUACAGGAAGAGGGAGAAGCAAGGUCCCCUCAGGGAGCCCGAUGCUGGACUCAAUCUUAGACCCUGGGAUCACCUCCUGAGCCCAAGGCAGAUGCUCAACCGCAGAGCCACCCAGGUGUCCCGGUAGUGAAAUAAAAUUAAUUUAAAAUAGAAGGAGAUACAAUGUAGAGAUAUAAUGUAUGUGAAUUUAGUUCAUAAGCUAUGAAAAAUUACGUAAAUAAUGGUAUUAUUGUUAUUGCUAGUAACAAUGUUGAAGUGCAAAGAACAACAUUUACUACCUCUCAAUACCUCUUAUUCCCUUUGCCAAACUUUAUGGAAUUUCUAGCAUCUCACUCCAGUGGAAAGAGGGUUUUAAAAAUUUAUUUAAUCUUCAUUCAGAAUACAAACUGAAUUAUAAACUAUAUAUGUCCUUCUUUCCUGUGUGGGGCUUUUAUUCCACCCACCCACCCCACCCCGGAAAGGACAAGAUUUGUAUAUAUUUAAUAUGAUAAUUUCCCUUUUUCAAAUUUGGUGCUCCGUAUUCUGGUCCAUAAGAAAAAUAGAAGAUUCUAGAAAAUAGCAGGUAAUAACAACCCUUUAAUUGAAAAUAUGGUAUUUUAAAAAACAUGCACUUUCCUAUUCUUACAAUUUUCUCUACCGUUUAAAGGUUCUAAAUUUUAAAGUCACAGAACUUGAUUUUUUUUCUACCCUCAUUCCAAAAUAUCUUAUGAAAGGAGAUAGAUAUAUCACUCUAGACAAGAGUGGAAGAUAUGGAAGAAAUUGCU
rnacentral:lncRNA from 1 species